GACGAACGCUGGCGGCGUGCUUAACACAUGCAAGUCGAACGAAGAGCGACGGAAGCUUGCUUCUAUCACUCUUAGUGGCGAACGGGUGAGUAACGCGUAAUCAACCUGCCCUUCAGAGGGGGACAACAGUUGGAAACGACUGCUAAUACCGCAUACGAUCUAACCUCGGCAUCGAGGAUAGAUGAAAGGUGGCCUCUACAUGUAAGCUAUCACUGAAGGAGGGGAUUGCGUCUGAUUAGCUAGUUGGAGGGGUAACGGCCCACCAAGGCGAUGAUCAGUAGCCGGUCUGAGAGGAUGAACGGCCACAUUGGGACUGAGACACGGCCCAGACUCCUACGGGAGGCAGCAGUGGGGAAUCUUCCGCAAUAGACGAAAGUCUGACGGAGCAACGCCGCGUGAGUGAUGACGGCCUUCGGGUUGUAAAGCUCUGUUAAUCGGGACGAAAGGCCUUCUUGCGAAUAGUGAGAAGGAUUGACGGUACCGGAAUAGAAAGCCACGGCUAACUACGUG
rnacentral:rRNA from 1 species